rnacentral:rRNA from 1 species
UACGAACUGUGCAAACGUUAUUCGGAUUCACUGGGCUUAAAGGGUGCGUAGGCGGCCAUGUAAGUAGGGUGUGAAAUCCCCCGGCUUAACCGGGGAACUGCGCCCUAAACUGUGUGGCUUGAGUGAGAUAGGGGUGUGUGGAACUUCCGGUGGAGCGGUGAAAUGUGUUGAUAUCGGAAGGAACGCCAGUGGCGAAAGCGACACACUGGGUCUCAACUGACGCUGAGGCACGAAAGCCAGGGGAGCGAACGGG